rnacentral:tRNA from 1 species
UCCCGGGUGGUGUAAUGGUAACACAGCGCCCUUUGAAGGCGGUAUUCAUGGUUCGAAUCCAUGCCCGGGAG